GGGUUGUGAGGUUAAGCGACUAAGCGUACACGGUGGAUGCCUAGGCAAUCAGAGGCGAUGAAGGACGUGCUAAUCUGCGAUAAGCGUCGGUAAGGUGAUAUGAACCGUUACAACCGACGAUUUCCGAAUGGGGAAACCCAGUGCAAUUCGUUGCACUAUCGUUUGAUGAAUACAUAGUCAAACGAAGCGAACCGGGGGAACUGAAACAUCUCAGUACCCCGAGGAAAAGAAAUCAACCGAGAUUCCCCUAGUAGCGGCGAGCGAACGGGGAGCAGCCCAGAGUCUUAAUCAGCAUUAGCAUCAGGAGAACGGUCUGGAAAGUCCGGCAGUAAAGGGUGAUAGCCCCGUAUCCGAAGGUGUUAGUGUUGUGAACUCGACGAGUAGGGCGGGACACGUGUUAUCCUGUCUGAAUAUGGGGGGACCAUCCUCCAAGGCUAAAUACUCCUGAUUGACCGAUAGUGAACCAGUACCGUGAGGGAAAGGCGAAAAGAACCCCGGCGAGGGGAGUGAAAUAGAACCUGAAACCGUGUACGUACAAGCAGUGGGAGCCUUGAUUUAUCAGGGUGACUGCGUACCUUUUGUAUAAUGGGUCAGCGACUUAUAUUCUGUAGCAAGGUUAACCGUAUAGGGGAGCCGUAGGGAAACCGAGUCUUAACUGGGCGAAUAAGUUGCAGGGUAUAGACCCGAAACCCGGUGAUCUAGCCAUGGGCAGGUUGAAGGUUGGGUAACACUAACUGGAGGACCGAACCGACUAAUGUUGAAAAAUUAGCGGAUGACUUGUGGCUGGGGGUGAAAGGCCAAUCAAACCGGGAGAUAGCUGGUUCUCCCCGAAAGCUAUUUAGGUAGCGCCUCGUGAACUCAUCUUCGGGGGUAGAGCACUGUUUCGACUAGGGGGUCAUCCCGACUUACCAACUCGAUGCAAACUACGAAUACCGAAGAAUGUUAUCACGGGAGACACACGGCGGGUGCUAACGUUCGUCGUGAAGAGGGAAACAACCCAGACCGCCAGCUAAGGUCCCAAAGUCAUAGUUAAGUGGGAAACGAAGUGGGAAGGCUCAGACAGCCAGGAUGUUGGCUUAGAAGCAGCCAUCAUUUAAAGAAAGCGUAAUAGCUCACUGGUCGAGUCGGCCUGCGCGGAAGAUGUAACGGGGCUAAACUAUGCACCGAAGCUGCGGCAGCGAUAUGUAAAUAUUGUUGGGUAGGGGAGCGUUCUGUAAGCCUGUGAAGGUGUGCUGUGAGGCAUGCUGGAGGUAUCAGAAGUGCGAAUGCUGACAUAAGUAACGAUAAUGCGGGUGAAAAACCCGCACGCCGGAAGACCAAGGGUUCCUGUCCAACGUUAAUCGGGGCAGGGUGAGUCGACCCCUAAGGCGAGGCAGAAAUGCGUAGUCGAUGGGAAACGGGUUAAUAUUCCCGUACUGGUGAUAAUUGCGAUGGGGGGACGGAGAAGGCUAGGCUAUCCGGGCGACGGUUGUCCCGGUUUAAGGAUGUAGGCAGGUGAAUUAGGCAAAUCCGGUUCACUAUAUGCUGAGGUCCGAUGACGAGUCACUACGGUGAUGAAGUAGCUCAUGCCCCGCUUCCAGGAAAAGCCUCUAAGCUCUAGAUUAUCAUUAAUCGUACCCCAAACCGACACAGGUGGUCAGGUAGAGAAUACUCAGGCGCUUGAGAGAACUCGGGUGAAGGAACUAGGCAAAAUGGUGCCGUAACUUCGGGAGAAGGCACGCUGGCAUUAGGUGAAGUGAUUUACUCAUGGAGCUGAAGCCAGUCGCAGAUACCAGCUGGCUGCAACUGUUUAUUAAAAACACAGCACUGUGCAAACACGAAAGUGGACGUAUACGGUGUGACGCCUGCCCGGUGCUGGAAGGUUAAUUGAUGGGGUUAUCCGUAAGGAGAAGCUCUUGAUCGAAGCCCCAGUAAACGGCGGCCGUAACUAUAACGGUCCUAAGGUAGCGAAAUUCCUUGUCGGGUAAGUUCCGACCUGCACGAAUGGCGUAAUGAUGGCCAGGCUGUCUCCACCCGAGACUCAGUGAAAUUGAACUCGCUGUGAAGAUGCAGUGUACCCGCGGCAAGACGGAAAGACCCCGUGAACCUUUACUAUAGCUUGACACUGAACAUUGAGCCUUGAUGUGUAGGAUAGGUGGGAGGCUUUGAAGCGUGGACGCCAGUCUGCGUGGAGCCAACCUUGAAAUACCACCCUUUAAUGUUUGAUGUUCUAACGUUGCCCCGUUAUCCGGGGUGCGGACAGUGUCUGGUGGGUAGUUUGACUGGGGCGGUCUCCUCCCAAAGAGUAACGGAGGAGCACGAAGGUUGGCUAAGCAUGGUCGGACAUCAUGCGGUUAGUGCAAAGGCAUAAGCCAGCUUGACUGCGAGAGUGACGGCUCGAGCAGGUACGAAAGUAGGUCUUAGUGAUCCGGUGGUUCUGAAUGGAAGGGCCAUCGCUCAACGGAUAAAAGGUACUCCGGGGAUAACAGGCUGAUACCGCCCAAGAGUUCAUAUCGACGGCGGUGUUUGGCACCUCGAUGUCGGCUCAUCACAUCCUGGGGCUGAAGUAGGUCCCAAGGGUACGGCUGUUCGCCGUUUAAAGUGGUACGCGAGCUGGGUUUAGAACGUCGUGAGACAGUUCGGUCCCUAUCUGCCGUGGGCGUUGGAAGAUUGAAAGGGGCUGCUCCUAGUACGAGAGGACCGGAGUGGACGCACCACUGGUGUUCGGGUUGUCAUGCCAAUGGCAUUGCCCGGUAGCUAAGUGCGGAAGAGAUAACCGCUGAAAGCAUCUAAGCGGGAAACUUGCCUUGAGAUGAGUCUUCCCUGACUCUUUAAGAGUCCUAAAGGAACGUUUAAGACUAAGACGUUGAUAGGUUGGGUGUGUAAGCGUAGCGAUACGUUGAGCUAACCAAUACUAAUGAACCGUGAGGCUUAACCUGACAACACCGAAGGUGUUUUAG
rnacentral:rRNA from 1 species